AUUCUUAAAGGCGACACGCUCAGCUUGGCGCAGCCGCCCACCCUUUGAAGUCGAGAACCUCGGCGCUGCCCUGUGUAUUGACCGCACAGCUCCGAAGACCAGGGCUAUGGCCCGGAACCCCCUACAUUGGGUGGCAGCGGCGGCAGCGAGGCCCCUCCGGAGAAGGGCCAGCUCCAGGGCCAGCCUCGACCCCCAUUUCCCUCGCGCAGCCCCGCAGGAGCCUGCUAUCUGCACCCCACGGAAGUCCUGACGGCGUCGUACCCCGGGGGAGCGCGCGGGCCCUGGAAACUGGCCGCCGCCGGUGUUCCAAUCAGAAAAUGGCUUGCAGGGCCUGCGCCUGUGCGUCGUGCCAACCGUGCCCGCACUUUGGACUUGGGACGGGAAGACGUCUCGGGUCAGCUGUGGCCUGGGCAGAGUUUAACUUCUACAACGAGCGGGUCUCCUCUGCCCAGCGAAGGGUUCGAGGCGUUUACUCACUUUUACCUGCGUUACCUGGGCACUUGCUAGGCAGAACUGCCUUAAAUCCCAUGAGCUCCUGGUUACAAACCCGUGUGGAUCCUCAGGGACCCAUGUGGUUCUCUGAGAAGAGAAGCUAAAAGUAGCACCUUGCUGUCUAAGUUUAGGACACUAUUUUUAGGUCCUGAGUAAAGUACCGGGGGCUGGAUUUGUUCGUGGGAGGUGUUUUUAAAGGAUAAACCGUCACCAAAUCUUCCUGGCCAGCACGAUAAUCCUCACCAAAUUCGGCCUUUUAACUCAAGUCCUUGGUGAAGCAACUCAAAAGCGAACAGAUACUUCUUCCUAAACCAGUCACCCAAGAGAACUCAAUGAAAUCUUUUAUUGAACAAAAUUUAAGGAAAUUUUCCUAAUGGAAGCACUACCAGCAACAGAACUGCUGUGCCAAAAAGAAUCCAAACAUGGCCCAAGUUCACAGCAAGUGAUUUUCAGGACCAAAAUGCUGCCUAGCUUUUUGGAGCUCAAAGUGCUCACUCUAAUUUGCCACAUCAGCCUAAGGAGUCACAGGAACUAUCAGUAUCAGAAAGUAGCAGAAAUUGCUUAAUAAUUCUCCAUCUCUAAGGGAAUGUCAACUCUCUGGAAACUAGCAAGGAAAGGGAAGAGGAAGCCUCUGAAAGCAAAACAAUGUCAUUAAGCCCAGUUUUCACAAAGACUAAUUGGUGACACCACCAUCUACCUGGUCAUCCUAGCUAGAAACCUGGUAUAUCCCACCAGGGAGGAACAUCAAAUGGUUGAGUUUUUAAAUCAUUUAAAAUAUUUUUUUUCUGUAUGGUUAUGCCAUUAAUCUGAUAUACUCCAAAUGUCAUUUGUAUCCAUUUAUUUCAGGUUUCUAGGGAUUUUUUUUCUUUUUGAUUCAAGUGUUUUAGUUAUGUGAAAUAAAUGGUUUCAGAGUAGAGACUAUAAAACAAGAUGCAGUUGAAGAAGUCUGUUCAACCCUUUGUCCUUCCAUUUAAUAAUACAGGGUUUUUUUUAAGAUUACAAAAUUGGACUGAAUUGUUAAGAGAGGGAGAUUCAACAGAGCAUUGUUAGUGACAGAAACUAGUGUGCCCCUCUAUUUAUUCUAUCAUCUAUACAUAUUAGUAAAAUUUUAUAGUUUUUGUCAUACAAGUCUUGCACAUUUUUAUUCAGUUUAGCCCGAGGGUUUAUGUGUGUAUCUUUGUUACUUUGAAUAGGUUUUUUCUCCUGUCCUGAUGUUUCCACUUAGUUGUUGUUUGUAUAUAGGAAAUUUCCAGUUUGCUAUUCAUAAGCAAAAUAAGCUAGUUUCUGUUUAGACAUACUUAUUAUUCUAAAGAUGUUGAUCAUUCCUAAAUUAUAAAGUCAAUGUAAUUGCAAUA